rnacentral:lncRNA from 1 species
AUAAUACGUAUAUGUUAGUAAAGGAAAAAUUUACCUGGUGAAAUGGUCGACAAGCAAGGAGACUGGAGAAGUGAAAACGGGCCUGUCACAAGGAUAAAAGUGAAAGAAGAAGGAAUUCUUAUGGACUCACAUCUGAACGCACCAUAUUUUAUACAUGAAUAGUCCCUUCGCUUUUACUCAUGAUGCAAUAUUCUUGGAGGAAUAGUAGAUAAUUCAUUAUUAUUAAGUAGUAUAAGUAAUUAUUACUAUAAUCAUCAUAUUAUUUUCCACAAAUACAUCUAGUACUAACUCAUAACGAUA